CCAAGCGGCGGGCCGGGCCGGGCUGCCCCUCGGGCGGGUCCCGCCGCGCCCCCACCGCGGGGCUCAGGGCUCGCUCUGGAUCCGCGCCCACCAGGGGUCAGCCUCGGCUCGGCUUCGGGCUGACUUCCCACAAUGCAGCGGGUCUGAGUCCGCACGCCGGGAGGUGACCGAGCUGCGGCUGCUGAGCCGAGCCCCGGGUUUGCGGGGCGGCUGGGGGCGGGGCUGCAGCCGCCGCCGCUGUCCCCGCCCGGUGCCUCCUGCGGGCCGCCGCCCCGGCUCGCGGCGCGCCCUCCCGAGCCUCGGAGUCCUCUCCACCUGGCGCUGUGCGAGAUACAGUGGAUUCCAAAUCCAUAGCUGUGUAAAGUUGGAGUCUCGUGAGACGAGAACAGAGUCUGGCUACACCCAGUCCCAAGAAAGAAAGACCUCAAACCUUUUCCUUCAGAGUUUCUGGACUACAUAAGAAGAGUAGUUUGGUUUCGUUUUUAAUAUAUAUAUAUUUCACAUUGUAUGCAAAUUUUUUUGGUUUUUAAGAAUAAUCUAUACUCAUUAAAAAAAAAAUUGGAAAGCACAUCGCAG
rnacentral:lncRNA from 1 species